AUGAACGCUAGCUACAGGCUUAACACAUGCAAGUCGAGGGGCAGCAUGAACUUAGCUUGCUAAGUUUGAUGGCGACCGGCGCACGGGUGAGUAACACGUAUCCAACCUGCCGAUGACUCGGGGAUAGCCUUUCGAAAGAAAGAUUAAUACCCGAUGGCAUAGUUCUUCCGCAUGGUAGAACUAUUAAAGAAUUUCGGUCAUCGAUGGGGAUGCGUUCCAUUAGGUUGUUGGCGGGGUAACGGCCCACCAAGCCUUCGAUGGAUAGGGGUUCUGAGAGGAAGGUCCCCCACAUUGGAACUGAGACACGGUCCAAACUCCUACGGGAGGCAGCAGUGAGGAAUAUUGGUCAAUGGACGAGAGUCUGAACCAGCCAAGUAGCGUGAAGGAUGACUGCCCUAUGGGUUGUAAACUUCUUUUAUACGGGAAUAAAGUGAGGCACGUGUGCCUUUUUGUAUGUACCGUAUGAAUAAGGAUCGGCUAACUCCGUGCCAGCAGCCGCGGUAAUACGGAGGAUCCGAGCGUUAUCCGGAUUUAUUGGGUUUAAAGGGAGCGUAGGCGGACGCUUAAGUCAGUUGUGAAAGUUUGCGGCUCAACCGUAAAAUUGCAGUUGAUACUGGGUGUCUUGAGUACAGUAGAGGCAGGCGGAAUUCGUGGUGUAGCGGUGAAAUGCUUAGAUAUCACGAAGAACUCCGAUUGCGAAGGCAGCCUGCUGGACUGUAACUGACGCUGAUGCUCGAAAGUGUGUGUAUCAAACAGGAUUAGAUACCCUGGUAGUCCACACAGUAAACGAUGAAUACUCGCUGUUUGCGAUAUACAGUAAGCGGCCAAGCGAAAGCGUUAAGUAUUCCACCUGGGGAGUACGCCGGCAACGGUGAAACUCAAAGGAAUUGACGGGGGCCCGCACAAGCGGAGGAACAUGUGGUUUAAUUCGAUGAUACGCGAGGAACCUUACCCGGGCUUGAAUUGCAACUGAAUGAUGUGGAGACAUGUCAGCCGCAAGGCAGUUGUGAAGGUGCUGCAUGGUUGUCGUCAGCUCGUGCCGUGAGGUGUCGGCUUAAGUGCCAUAACGAGCGCAACCCUUAUCGAUAGUUACCAUCAGGUUAUGCUGGGGACUCUGUCGAGACUGCCGUCGUAAGAUGUGAGGAAGGUGGGGAUGACGUCAAAUCAGCACGGCCCUUACGUCCGGGGCUACACACGUGUUACAAUGGGGGGUACAGAAGGCAGCUACACGGCGACGUGAUGCUAAUCCCUAAAGCCUCUCUCAGUUCGGAUUGGAGUCUGCAACCCGACUCCAUGAAGCUGGAUUCGCUAGUAAUCGCGCAUCAGCCACGGCGCGGUGAAUACGUUCCCGGGCCUUGUACACACCGCCCGUCAAGCCAUGGGAGUUGGGGGUGCCUGAAGUACGUGACCACAAGGAGCGUCCUAGGGCAAAACCGAUGACUGGGGCU
rnacentral:rRNA from 1 species